rnacentral:lncRNA from 1 species
GGUUGCUCCCGUUCGAUUAGCUCUCUCGCAACAAAGAGAGGAGCCGGUUUUCAAUUUUCAAAGAAGUCAUUAGAGAUUCCCCGAUUUAUUACUCAAACUAAGCUGACCGAGGAAGACGAAGAUGAACAAGAACGUAUCAAAGACAACAACCAUGUUAUUCUAUUGCGUACCCUCACUUGAAAGAAAACCUUUUCCAACCUCUGAUCUUUCUCGAGAAAGUUGGUUACAUCUCAAUGGAAGAUUGUUGAGCCGCCAACGGAUUCACGAGAUGAUGAAUGGGGUGCGAAUCACUUGAACCCUGUCCCGCCUUUUUCACUUUAACUCCAUGGAGCCCUAUGGAGUCAGAGGGGUACGGAGGAGAAAU